UGGGGAAUAUUGGGCAAUGGACGCAAGUCUGACCCAGCAACGCCGCGUGAAGGAAGAAGGCUUUCGGGUUGUAAACUUCUUUUAAGGGGAAGAGCAGAAGACGGUACCCCUUGAAUAAGCCACGGCUAACUACGUGCC
rnacentral:rRNA from 1 species